UACUUCUGUUAUAUAUUAUCCGUCUUCUCUCUUUUAUGGAAUUGUUAUUUCUUUACUUUUUUUCUUAGCUUAUGGAACCAAUGGGAAGGUCCUGCUGGUAAUAAAUAUUCUGUUAUGAUGUAUACUAGAGGUCAGAAAUGUUGGAAUGGUCCAGAUAGAUCUACAAGGGUGAAUUUAAAAUGUGGCAUUGAAAACAGUGUCAUAUCUGCUUCAGAACCCGAUAGAUGUGUCUACCAAUUCGAGUUCACCACCCCAGCACUCUGUACGUACAAGUAUGAUUUGAGCACGGGAGAAACCGAUACACACGACGAGCUAUGAUGUAUUGUCUCUGUCCCACAUAUUCAUUUCCUUGUGAUGUUUUGUAAAAGGGCUCCAAAUGUUGAAGUUAACAGCACAUAGACUAAUUAGAUAUUGGCUGAUUGAUUAAUGUUCAUGUAAUAUAAACAUUUCCUGUGGCACAAGUGCAUUUCUUUAGUACUUUUAUACUCUAUGAAAUUAGUACAAAAAUUGGUGCGGUGAAGGUGUUGAGAGUAAGAAUUUUGCUACCUCGAUGUACCGUCCUGGGAGAAAUUUGAAACAAAGGAAAGCACAUUUCUGACGACACUGACAUAAAAUAUUUGCUUAACAAUGUCAAGAAGAUGUUUCCUCAUCACUGGAUGAUACUGUUUGGAACUAGAUAUCAUUAUUCAACAAUCCAGUUAUGUACAAAAAAAACCCCAAUAUUUAGGCUCUAGGAAAAUUAUAAAUUACAGUGAGCUAUGAUAUUUCUUACCUGUCCCAGACAGAUGGGAAAUGUUUUAUUUUCUACUGUUUGAUGAAAUUUAUUCAUAUUUGAGUUUUAUCCCUCACUAGACUGUUAUCAUUUAUAGAAUACCAGUAUUAAGUUAGUAUUUCAACUGCAUGGAAUUGUAGGAAAAAAAUACGCCUAUUCUUGGCUUGAUACAAUAUUAGCACUGGUUCUUGAGAAUUUUCUCCCAAUUCCUUCAAUAACGCAUCUAAUAAUUCCAAACCCGGACCAACCCUUAUCCUAACCCCUAACAUAACACAGAAAUCCAACACUACAAAUACUAACUCUAUGCUUGUCAAUUAGUAUUACCAUUAAGGUACCUGUUAUGUGGAGAAAUUUGCUCAGAAGCUAUGCGUGAGAUUGUCAUAUAUGUGCUUUGUUUUCACCAUUUGGAGUUCUUCGCUUAAAUCUACAGAAUUUGUCAGUCAUUCUUGGUCUAGUUUUAGUGGGGAAAGUUACCAUGACAUUGCACAUUCAUGUUACAAAAAUAGAUGUAUACUUUUAUAUGACGAAACAUGAUAUAGUUGUGUACCGAGUAUUUGUGAUAUUUUUUCACCUGUGUUGAAAUUAUUGUGAAUUGUGACUAUGAUUGAGAGAAGAAAGGUAUCUGGUUUUAUCAUCUAAUGAUAUCAGUGAAUGAUUAUGUUGAUGUAAUUAUAAUUGGCAGUGUUACACUGUUUUGUUUGUUUUGACACAAAUAGUCUUACUAUUUAUAUCUUAUAGCAUUUCUGAGAAAUUCUUAUACAGCUCGGGAAAUAGUUAUUAGACCAUACUGUAUGGAAGCUUAGUUGAAAAUUGGUCUACUAAUCAUUUCCUAAACUGUAAACAUAUUCCUGCUUGUGAUGUUAGGAAUAUAAACUCUGGAUCUUAACAUAGUUUAGAUAGAUAACCAAUUCAUAAUCAUCAUUCUAAUAAAAUGGGAUAUGAUGUUGCUGCCUUUAAGAACUUAUUUUCUGUAUAUUUUGUUAGUUUUUACUAGGUAUUGACUUUCUCGAUAGGAAAGGGGAUAGAAUUGAAUAAAAUACAAUGUACAUUCAAUAAAUUACAAGAAUUACUUAUAAUGUAGAAAAAAGUUAAAUUUGAUCACUGCAUUUCAUGCGAUUGUAAGAAUUCUUCAAACACCAUCAAUGAAAAUCUUGAUUAAAGCACCAAAUUGAAUAAUCACACUGGUAACGGAGUUUAUUAAGAAACUUGCAAUCAGUUGCAAGUCAAAUCUGGGUGAAAAAAAAUCAGUUAUAAUUGUAGCGAUUAAUUGCAAAUCUGUACUCGAAUGCUGGUCUGCCUCUUGCAAAACAUAGUAAAAAUCAAAUUUGCUCUAGUUACAAUCGAUAUAUCAAUCGUAAAUUUGCAUCAGAAAUUUUCAGUUGCAAUCUUACAAUUGAUAGAUCAAUUUUAGCUGUAGCAAAUCAGAUUACACUCCUUGUUCCGAGGAACAGAUUAGUAAUCAAUUGCAGGACUUGUGUGUGAUUUAGGGACUGAUAAUAGACUUUCAAUUGAUCGCAAGUUUCUUGCGACACCCCAAAGUCUUUCUGAUUCUCUAUCAAGGUGGCAUUGGUCAUUAUCGGAUGAUCACACAUACUGUAAAUCUAGCUUUGGCGACCAACUUCAUAGAAGGACCAUCUGUGUAUUUCAGUCUUGUUUUUUUUUAAUGUGCAACAUGGACCAUAAACAGUAGUAGGGAUUAUUAGAAUGUGGAAUCACAGAUCUAGAAGAACAAAUCUAAAGUGUAUUUAGAUUGUUUAUUUAAUCUGAAGUAUGACGUGAAAUCAGCCAGUUUUGUACAUUAAGCAUUAUUUCAAUUAAGAUAGCUAGAUAUGUAUCAGAAUCAUGGGCGGUAAUCUGGAGUUCAAUUUGUACAGUGUACAGUAGCCUCUGUGACAGGAUUGACUUGCGUUUCAUAGAGGGACAAAAAAAUAUCACGAAAUCGCCGCUCAUGAUCAGAAUUGUGAAUGACAGACUAUAUUAAUCUUCUUGUUCAUUAAUUAGCUUGUGGCUAUAACACUUAUUACAAAUUAUAUCGAGUGCUGAACAAAAUGAUGAUUUAUAUACUAAUCUGUGUGAUUUAUAAAAGAUUAUGCAUCUUAAUAUACGAUGGAGAAAGAUAGAGUCUACAUAAUUGUUAUGGAGGAGACAAUCAUAUUGAUUAACUGAUUCACUGUAUAUUGAUGUAUUGACAGAGAUAUGGAACAUUAGUGUAUGAUUUUAGUUGAAUCUAUUUCGAUCUUAAUCUCGCCACUUCGUAACAGGCACAUCAUUCCCUGUCAUUGUUAGUGUUGAAUUGUUUAGUGGUCAAUAACUUUUCUAUGUUAUCAGCAUAAUCAAAGCAAAUACAGUCAAACCUAGGGCCCUCUUUCAUAAGACUUGUUAUAAUAAAGAAAUUACAGUAACAGUUAAAAGCUAUUGAAA